rnacentral:lncRNA from 1 species
AGUGAUUCUCCUGCCUCAGGCUCCUGAGUCGCUGGGAUUACAGUUUGGUUGCUUUUGCUUUACAUAAUUUGAAGCUGUCAUAUUAAGUGCAUACAAAUUUAAGAUUAAAAAAAUCUUCCUGUGGACAUUAUUCUUUUAUCAUUAGGUAAGGUUCCUGUUUAUCUCUUAUUUUCCACUUGGGAUAUUCAUUAGCCCUUUCUAAGGAGCCAACCUGAAGUAUUUAGUUUCCCUGAUUAUGCUGUGCACUCAUAAACUUAAAAAAAAUCUAAUUAGAUAAUACUUGUGUGGAAUUUCUCUAUUGUUUGGGAUUACAUUUGUGUGCAUGUAUCAGAAAACCAAAAAAUAACAAUAGCUUAGAUAAGUUGGAAGUUUAUUUCUAACUUGCAUAAAGAGCUCUGAAAGUAGAAAGUUCUGUGGAUGGUAGUUGCACAUAAUCAUAGGAGACUCACGCUCCUGUCUCUCUGCCUCUCUACAUAGCGUUUCUUGGCCCAAGAUGGCUGCUUGGAGCUCCAGCCAUCAAGUCUGUAUUCCAGGCAGCAGGAAGGAAGAAGAGAGGGUGAUGUUGCAGUCAGUGGCGAGCUUCAGUCCCAGGAGCCUGGAUGAAAGUAGACACAGAACGAGAGAUCAAGGAUGCAACAAGGAAGAAACAUCUUCCCUGUUAGUACCCAGUGAACUGAGACUGGGCUAGAAAAUCACAUCUGUUGUAAAAUCAGAAAGGGUCAUACCUGGAGCAGAUGGAAAUUACACUAAAGAAAUAAUGGACAUCACCUGAAGAUCCUGAAUGGAGAGCAGUGGUUCUGUGAAAUCUCCUUUGGGUGCAGUAGCUGGGUGUGGCUUUGCCACUAGGGAGAAGAUGGUUGUGUUACAUAAAGUAAGGUCAUAUUUGGAAUUUCAUGUGUAGCGGAAGAGGGUGUAUAUAUGUUGAGUAGAAAAGAGAAGGAAUGUAUACUUAUUGGGGUAAUAGCCUUGCUAUUUUUUAGAAUAGCCUCCUUGUUUUUUAAUCACACGCUUACAGUGGUGGAACUCUCAGCAGCCAUGUUUUGAAAACAACACAGCCCUUUUGUCACUUUUGAUUGACCCAAACUUGACCAAAAUCCCUUUCUUGGACGCUUUUACUAUUUCAUCAGUUUAGUAAUGGAUGUCUGACUCAAGCUGGGAAUGCUAUGGGUGGCAAGGUGGGGGGUCAGGGGGAGGAGAGAGAGAGAGAGAGAGAGAGAGAGAAUCGUUCUUUUCCUAAUUACUGGACCAGUAACAAGUAAAGGUAUUCAAGGUCAUCAUUUUUUGCCAUAUGGACUGAGGAGGAGAGGAAGCUGGAUGCAGCAAGAGAGAGGAAUGAAGGCAACACUCACAGAAGAGUAGAGAUGAGAGGCAGAGAGACUAGUUGUGUUCAGGUCUCUGCUUCCAGCUUGCUCCUGGGGUCCCACUAUUUCUUGCCAUUAGGUUUUUGCGAUCCAGUCCUUACAAUCAGGUGUCCUGCUUUGCUUAACUUAAUUUUAGUAAGAUUCUUACUUAUAACCAAAAGAAUAUAACUAAUGUAGUCUGUUAAAGACACUAAAAUCCUGUUUGCCACAUUUAUGGUAAAAUUUUUAGUAUAAUGAUUUGUUAUAUAAACAAAAACAUGGCAAUAUCAUUCUUAGCCUAUAGGCUUUUUAAGUGAAAAAGAAAACUAUAAUUUCUCCUCCUUCUCCACCAUCUUCUUCCCAUCUUCCUCUUUCUUCUUUUCUGAAUCUUCUUCCUUUUUUUUGGUGCUCUUGGAGCCUAGAACAAUGAUGGGCAUUAAUAGAUGCUCAAUUAAUGUUUAUUGACCUAAACUGAACAUAAAUAAAUAGGAAAAUAAGAAAGAAAUUCCUCCACAAUCUCACCACUACAUGAAUAAAACUCUUUUCAGUCAUCCCUGUACUUACCAUUGUCCACAUUCUUCCGUCAUUUUUAUUUUUCUGCAAUCCCAGGAUAGACCCAGUUUUGAUUCCUACCUUUGUUCAAUAACACUGUAUUAUAAAUACAUUUCCAUGAUGGUCACAGCCUUUAAAAUUGCAAUUAUUAUUGUUGCUUCAAUAACAGGAAAAGAUAAAUGUAGAAAGUAUUUUUUAUUGAAUAUUUCAUAAGGCCAAACAGAAAUGGAAAGUGCUUUCAUUAUAGUCAACAAGCCAAAUCUCUGGCUUUUCUCUUGCUUCAUUGCCUUUCCCUGAGAAACCACAUCCUGCACAAAUCCAACUCUGCUCUUACUCCACGCCUGUUCCCGUGCUGCUGAACCAGGCUGGAAGAAAAACACAGCCACACAUGCCUGUCUCACUUUCACUUCCUGACCACUCACCCCAAGAAGGCUCAUAAUGCUGCGUAGCAAUCAUUCUAUAUUUCUCUAAUCUAUUUACUCUCCCUUCUCUUAGGCGAUUCUUUGCAUUCUUUAACCUCCAAACUCUGACGCUGCCUCCUCCAGCCUCUCUCUCAGGGGAUAACUACAUAUUCUUUCACUGAGAAAUGAGAGACAAUGAAAAGAGACUUCACAAGGCCCCGGUGCCACCUCUCAUCUACCUCCAUUUGUUCUGAUAUACUCUACUUUCCCUCUAGUUAUUAAGAAUGAAUUGAACAUGCUGCCCUUUCAGGCCUGUCCUUUCUCGGCACUGAUUCUAUCCUCUCACCAGCUCAAGGAUUUUCCUCCAGCAAUUCCCUACCAUUUCCACUAUCCCCAUCUCUUGAAACAGUAUUCUUUUCCUCUUUACUUGACUCUUCUCAUUAGACUACAAAUGUGCUGUUACCACUUGCCUACACACACACACAUGCGCAUGCACACACACACACACACACACACACCUCAAAAAACUUCACCAUCUAUCUAUUGCUCCAUUUCUUGUCUUCCUUGUCAAGCAAAAUUCUGUGAGUCUAGUGGUUCUCAAAGUGUGGUAUAAGUACCAGCAGCAUUAGCAUCAUCUGGGAGCUUGUAAGAAAUACAUAUUCUUGGGCCUUACUCCAAAUUUACUGAAUCAAAAAUUCUGGGUGUGGGCCCAGCAAUCUGUGCUUUAACAAGCCUGCAGGUGAUUGUGAUCUAUACUGAAUGUUGGGAACCACUGUUUACGUAUAGUUGUUGACUCCAAUUUCUCUUCUCUCAUUCUCUUUGAAACACACUCCAGCCAAGCUUUAGGUUCCCCUGUUUCACAGAAAUUCCUCUGUCAAGGUCAAGAAUGAUCUUCAUUGGUGGGACCAGGUUUCUCAUUGUCAGAGAGUAAAGUUACAGAUGAGCAAGACAGGAAGGCUAGAAUGAACUCUGUGGUACUGGGUUAAGGUCAGAGAUGUCAGUGUGGACUUAUGUUUAGCUGAAUAUAUAAUUUCUGUCUUAGCUAGAUGUCUCCCUUGGCCCCAGCCUUGUGUACCCAACCGUCUACUUGAAAUCUCAAUUCAGAUGUCAACACGCAACUAAAAUUUAACCUGACUAAAACAAAGCUACUGGUAUCUCCUUCACAGGCUUGCUCUUCCUGCAGUCGUCACUAUUUUCAUGAAUGGCAAUUGCAUCCUUUUGGUUGCUCAAGUCAAAAACCUUGGAAGUCUAUCUUAGUCUGUUUUGUGUUGCUAAAACAGAAUACCAGAGACUCCGUAAUUUAUAAAGAAAAGAUGCUAAUUUGGCUUAUGACUCUGGUGGCUGGGUGGUUCAAGAUUGGGCAGCUGCCUCUGGUGAAGGCCUCUUGUUGCUUCUACUCAUGGUGGAAAGUAGAAGGGGAGUGAAGAGGAGUGAAGUUUGCAAAGAGAUCACAUUGGGAGAGGGGAAGCAAGAGAAACCAAGGAAGCCAGACUCUUUUUAAGAACCUUUUUUUGCAGGAAUGAAUCCAUUCCUGAGAGAGCAAGUGCUCACCUCCAUGGGAGAACAUUAAUCUGUCCAUGAAGGAAUCCCCCCCAGCCUCAAUGACUCAAAGACCUCCCACUAGUCCAUAUGACUUACAUUGCCACAUUGGGAAUCAAAUUUCAGCAUGAGUUUGUGCAGGGACAGACUAAAUCCAAAACAUAGCAGAGUCAUUUUUGACUUUUCUUUUACCUUAUGUGCAGUCUUUUCAGUCCUACUUUCAAAAUAUACUCCGAACCCAGUCACUCCUCACCACCUCCUUUGCUACCCAGGUCCAAACCACCAUCAUUUCUUGCCUAGAUUACGGAAGCCGAUUCCUAACUGGUCUCCCUGCUUCUGCCCUUGCCUCUCUUCAUGUGUUCUCAACACAGCAGCAAGUGUUCCUGUCAGUUUGUAAGUCAGAUCAUGCCAAAAUCUGCUCAGAAUUCUUUAUUGAGUUCUCAAUACUCUCAGAGUUAAAGUCAAAUCCUUUCCAUUGCUAACUGGUCCCUGUGUGAUCUAUUCACUUUGCAAUGCUGUCUGACUUGAAAUCCUGCUACUUUCGGUCUCCAGUCCAGCUACUAAGACCUCAUGGCUGUUCUUCAACAAUCCAAGCAUAUGACUCCCUGAGGAUCUUUGUACUCAUUGCAUUAUUUGCUGAGAACACUAAGUGUGUGAUAAUUUGUUAUGCAACAGUAGAAAACCAAUGCAGAUUAAAUCACAUGAAAUUGCCAGUAGUUCAAAAGUAAUAUAUGACCUCCAAGAUGGCAAUUUCUUGUGAUUCUAUGUAAUGAAUUGCAACAGUCAUCUUUACUCCCAACACCCCCUUUUCCUUUCCCUGCUUAUUUCCCCUCAGAUAAUUGGAUCACCAUCUAGUUUACUAUUUUUCUUAUGUAUUCUGGUUAUAAGUUGUUUCUUCCCACAGCAAGGUAAUCAGAUACCUCUAUCUGCUUUGUUCAUGCUGUUGUCCCAGUGCCUAGAGGAGUGCCUGACAUACAGUAGAUACUUAGUAAAUGUUUGUCAAAUGUUGCAUGAGUGAAUGAAGGUAAGCGGAGGAGAUGGGAAUUUGAGCAACAUGAACCACUUUGUUGGACAAAAACUCAAACUGAAAAUCUGAUGGGAACUUGAAAAAGCCAGGAGCUCUGUAUUCAUCCUUAAACUUUGGAGUUUCCAGAAUCCGACAUUCUGGAGAAUUUCAGUUUCUGUGCUGAAAUGCCUUCAAUUCAACACAAAACAACUAAAAUAGAAAAAUACAAAGUUCUCAGAGUAGGAAUUCUGGGAAAUACAAUUGAAGCUGAGGUUUGGGUGGGGACACAGCCAAACCAUGUCAAGGAGUAUGUAGAAAUAUGCUGAAGUAUAUAUUAAAUUAAGUGGCGAAAUCAAAAUAAUACCCAUAUUAAAAUUGUAGCCGUUUUGAAAACACGUAUCAAGUACUACUUGGCUUUCAAAAGAGACAAAUCUUAUCAUCUGCAACAGCAUGGAUGAAACUGGAAGAUAUUAUGCCUGGCCUCAGAAGGCCAGGUCAAAAAGUCUAGCAGCUAAAUUUAGAGAGCUAGAAAUGGAAACAGCAGCAAUCAAAUGGCUACUUUCCUUCCUCAAUUUGAGGUCAAUGGCAGGAUGGAGGAAGGAAACUGCAGCUUCUGAGAACAGGCUGAGCACUGGGUGGCAAGUCCCCGUUUCUGUGGGCAGCAUGCUCUCAGCCUCAGCUCCUGGGCCAGGCAGACGCCUGUGGGUGGGCUGGGACACUUUAGAUUGGGUUGGGGAGAGUCUAUUUAUCAAAAAUGAGAUCCAUCUGCAAGAGGAGGGAUCUCUUCCAAUGUUAUUGAAGUUUUCCAGUCCAUCUAAGGUAAAUUUUCUUCCUUAAGUAGAUGGUAUGCAUUUUUAAAACAUGGCAUUAAGUAUCUACAUGUUUUCUUUAGCAGAGUAUCGUACCUGAGCACAGAUAUCUUCUUAGUCUACCUUCAGAAAGUCUCUGGAGCAUUCAGGCUAGAAUUUAAUAUCCUUCGUGCCCAUAUUCUCCUUUUUUAAAUAGCUUAUUAUCUUUGCAAAGAAAAGUUUAUCUAGACUGCUGCAGGAAAUUGAAGGGUUAAUCCUAUCCCUUACUCAUAUUGGCUAUUGAAAUCAUUUCCCAAUAUUGUGUCCAAUUAUUACCUCUAUGUAUGUAUGUAUGUAUGUAUGUAUGUAUGUAUGUAUCUAUCUAUCUAUCUAUCUAUCUAUCUAUCUAUCUAUCUUUUCUAACAAGUUGUAGUUAUUCACAUUUAUGGAGUAUAAUGUGAUAUUUUGAUAUAGAUCAAUGUGGCAUGAUCUAUUUAAGCUAAUUAACUUAUCCAUCAUCUGACUUACCUAUCAUUUUUUACACUGAGACAUCUGAAAUUUACUCUUACUUAUUAUUAAAUAUAUAGUACAUUAUUUUGACUAUAGUAAUCUUAAUUGCAGUAAACCUAGUCCUCCUGUCUGUCUGAAACUUUAUACCUUUUGAUCAGUAAUUCUCCAUUCCCUUCUUCUCCACCCCACAGCGUCUGGUGACCAUUGUUCUACUCUCUAAUUCUUUGAGUUCACCUUCUUUUAGAUUCCACACAUGAGUAAGAUCAGGCAGUAUUUGUCUUUCUGUGCCUGGCAUAUUUCACUCAGCAUAAUA